UUUCACUGUGCUCUACUGUAUAUAUGACUCAUUAUUAUAUUAUUAUUAUUAUAAACCGCCAAACAGGACACUAUUCAGACGGCUUCGUUUUGGUGCCGAAUUUUGAAGCACAAUCCCAACAUAAUCUGGUGAGAAGAAUGGUUCCUUGUGUUCGUUCUCGGUAUGUGAGUGUAGAUCAGGACCUGCCUGAUCCAUCUUGAUUCCCUACCUCUGGAUGGAGCUCUCAUCAACUGGAGGCUACAUUCUACCACUGCGAAAGACUCCAAGCGGUGCAGCCUGGAGAUCGCUGAGGACGGUACCGCUUGAAGUACCAUGGAAAU
ensembl:lncRNA